rnacentral:rRNA from 1 species
GACGAACGCUGGCGGCAUGCUUAGCACAUGCAAGUCGAACGGAAAGGCCCUGCUUGCAGGGUGCUCGAGUGGCGAACGGGUGAGUAACACGUGGGUGAUCUGCCCCUUACUUUGGGAUAAGCCUGGGAAACUGGGUCUAAUACUGGAUAGGACCAUGCUGUAGGUGGUGUGGUGGAAAGAUUAGUUUCGGUAAGGGAUGAGCUCGCGGCCUAUCAGCUUGUUGGUGGGGUAAUGGCCUACCAAGGCGUCGACGGGUAGCCGGCCUGAGAGGGUGGACGGCCACAUUGGGACUGAGAUACGGCCCAGACUCCUACGGGAGGCAGCAGUGGGGAAUAUUGCACAAUGGGCGCAAGCCUGAUGCAGCGACGCCGCGUGGGGGAUGACGGCCUUCGGGUUGUAAACUCCUUUCAGCCAUGACGAAGCCCUUGUGGUGACGGUAGUGGUAGAAGAAGCACCGGCUAACUACGUG